rnacentral:rRNA from 1 species
GGAAGGUGCGGCUGGAUCACCUCCUAA